AUCUCGCGUAACCAAUCGGAAAAAACCUUUGGAUCAAGACGACCAUCAAAAGUGGGGGCUUCAACCCUAAUGCCUCGCAUUACAUCUUCAUCAGGAUCACGAGGUUCUCUGGGUUCUACGGUAUGUCGGUGACCUCUAUCAACAUGAGGAAUGGGACCAGGUCCUCUAGGGCGAGGGAAGGCAUAAUGGUGACCUGGAACAAACCUAUUAUCAAAGUUGUCCUGCCGAACCGAGGCUUGUUGUUCUAGGAUGUCAUCCUCAUCAACACCCGGUAAAUGGGGAGUACUAGCUCUUUGGGAUUCAAUAACCCUUUGAAGUGAAACCUCAAUUGAAUC
rnacentral:lncRNA from 1 species